AUCCUUUUUUGAGUUCAUAAGCAUGAUAACUGGGUGUUGACACCAUUGUAUGACAAGUGCCUUCCUUAAAUCUUGUUACAAUGUCAGCACAUUACCCAAGUGGGA